GUGUCAGCCGCCGCGGUAAUACGUAGGUGGCAAGCGUUGUCCGGAGUUACUGGGUGUAAAGGGCGUGUAGGCGGGAAGAUAAGUCAGAUGUGAAAUUCCAUGGCUCAACUGUGGCGCUGCAUCUGAAACUAUUUUUCUUGAGUGAUGGAGAGGAAAGUGGAAUUCCUAGUGUAGCGGUGAAAUGCGUAGAUAUUAGGAGGAACACCAGUGGCGAAGGCGACUUUCUGGACAUUAACUGACGCUGAGGCGCGAAAGCGUGGGGAGCAAACAGGAUUAGAUACCCGCGUAGUCC
rnacentral:rRNA from 1 species